AUAAAAUAAUUAUGUUUUUAUAGUUUUAAUAUAAAUUUAUUUUACAUAUAAAUUUUAGUAUAUAAUUUUAAUUAUUUUAAUAAUAAUUAAUUAAAUUUGUAGUAAUUAAUAUUAAAAAUUUAAGAAAUUAAGAUUUAGAAAUAUUAAAAUUAAUAACUAAUUUUGUGCCAGCAGUUGCGGUUAAACAAAAAUUAAAUUAAAAUAUUUCAGUUUAUAAUAAAUAAUAAUAAAAUUAAAAUAAAUAUUAAAUUAUUAGGUGAAAUUUUAAUUUAAUUAAAUUUUAUUUAAAAAUUAUGAUUUAAUAAAUUUUAAUUUAAACUAGGAUUAGAUACCCUAUUAUUAAAAAUUUAAUAUAUAAAACUAAAAUAAUAGAUAAUAAUUUAUUGAAACUUAAAUAAUAUGGCGGUAUUUUAGUUCAUUUAGAGGAAUCUGUCUAAUAAUUGAUAGUCCACGAAUAAAUUUACUUAAUUUAUAAUUUUGUAUAUCAUUGUUAAAAAAAUAUUUUUUAGUGAAAAUAAUAUUUAAAAUUUUAAAAUAAAAGUUAAUUCAGAUCAAGAUGCAGAGUAUAAUUAAGAAUAUGAUGGAUUACAAUAAAUAUAUUUAAAUGAAUAAUAUAUUGGAAAAUAAAUUUGAAGGUGGAUUUAAAUGUAAUUUUAAUUAGUUUAUUGAAAUGAUUAUAAAUUAAAAUAUGUACAUAUUGCCCGUCACUUUCAUUUUAAAAUUGAAAUAAGUCGUAACAAAGUAGAGGUACUGGAAAGUGUUUCUAGAAAGA
rnacentral:ncRNA from 1 species